AUUUUCCUAGUGCUAUGAUCAGUUGAUGUCUGAAGUAGUGCUGUUUGCUUCUGAUUCUCAAACUCAGUAUAAUUCAAUUUGGUUUAUAAAACCCUUUUUCUAGUCUGUCCCUAUUGUAUAGUAUGGGAUCACAAGUAUUUUUAAUGUUUUAUUUCUAUUGUCAUUAAAGUUGUUGCAUGACGAAACUUCCUAGUCUUCUUCUUAUUUGAAGAGCUCAGAUAUGAGGUUAACCUUCAAUGUUUUAUUUCUAUUGUCAUUAAAGUUGUUGCAUGACGAAACUUCCUAGUCUUCUUCUUAUUUGAAGAGCUCAGAUAUGAGGUUAACCUUCAAUCAUUAUGUUCUAUAGUCUACAAUAUAGUCCACUUGUAUUUAAAUUAAUAUUUUACCACAGUUUCCAUUUCUCUUUCUAAAACUAUCUUGUACCUGAUAAAAACUAAGGUCAAUUGUACAACCAGCUAUUUACAAAUAUAUGUUAUCUUGUUUGCAUGAGAUGCUAAUUUCUG
rnacentral:lncRNA from 1 species